UGAUGCAGCCAUGCCGCGUGUGUGAAGAAGGCCUUCGGGUUGUAAAGCACUUUCAGUUGUGAGGAAAAGUUAGUAGUUAAUACCUGCUAGCCGUGACGUUAACAACAGAAGAAGCACCGGCUAACUCCGUGCCAGCAGCCGCGGUAAUACGGAGGGUGCGAGCGUUAAUCGGAAUUACUGGGCGUAAAGCGCACGCAGGCGGUUUGUUAAGCUAGAUGUGAAAGCCCCGGGCUCAACCUGGGAUGGUCAUUUAGAACUGGCAGACUAGAGUCUUGGAGAGGGGAGUGGAAUUCCAGGUGUAGCGGUGAAAUGCGUAGAUAUCUGGAGGAACAUCAGUGGCGAAGGCGACUCCCUGGCCAAAGACUGACGCUCAUGUGCGAAAGUGUGGGUAGCGAACAGGAUUAGAUACCCUGGUAGUCCACACCGUAAACGCUGUCUACUAGCUGUGUGUGCCUUUAAGGCGUGCGUAGCGAAGCUAACGCGCUAAGUAGACCGCCUGGGGAGUACGGCCGCAAGGUUAAAACUCAAAUGA
rnacentral:rRNA from 1 species